GGGGGCAACCUGACCGAGCAACGCCGCGUGAGUGAAGAAGGUUUUCGGAUCGUAAAGCUCUGUUGUAAGAUAAGAACGAGUGUGAGAGUGGAAAGUUCACACUGUGACGGUAGCUUACCAGAAAGGGACGGCUAACUACGUGCCAGCAGCCGCGGUAAUACGUAGGUCCCGAGCGUUGUCCGGAUUUAUUGGGCGUAAAGCGAGCGCAGGCGGUUAGAUAAGUCUGAAGUUUAAGGCUGUGGCUUAACCAUAGUACGCUUUGGAAACUGUUUAACUUGAGUGCAAGAGGGGAGAGUGGAAUUCCAUGUGUAGCGGUGAAAUGCGUAGAUAUAUGGAGGAACACC
rnacentral:rRNA from 1 species